rnacentral:rRNA from 1 species
UAGGGANUCUUCCACAAUGGGCGAAAGCCUGAUGGAGCAACGCCGCGUGUGUGAUGAAGGCUUUAGGGUCGUAAAGCACUGUUGUAUGGGAAGAAAUGCUAGAAUAGGGAAUGAUUCUAGUUCGACGGUACCAUACCAGAAAGGGACGGCUAAAUACGUGCCAGCAGCCGCGGUAAUACGUAUGUCCCGAGCGUUAUCCGGAUUUAUUGGGCGUAAAGCGAGCGCAGACGGUUGAUUAAGUCUGAUGUGAAAGCCCGGAGCUCAACUCCGGAAUGGCAUUGGAAACUGGUUAACUUGAGUGUUGUAGAGGUAAGUGGAACUCCAUGUGUAGCGGUGGAAUGCGUAGAUAUAUGGAAGAACACCAGUGGCGAAGGCGGCUUACUGGACAACAACUGACGUUGAGGCUCGAAAGUGUGGGUAGCAAACAGGGUUAGAUACCCUGGUAGUCCACACCGUAAACGAUGAAUACUAGGUGUUAGGAGGUUUCCGCCUCUUAGUGCCGAAGCUAACGCAUUAAGUAUUCCGCCUGGGGAGUACGACCGCAAGGUUG